GUUGGUAUCUCAGUGGUAGAGUGCAUGCUUUGUAUGUAUGACGUCCAGGGUUCAAUCCCCAGCUUCU
rnacentral:tRNA from 1 species